CCUACGGGAGGCAGCAGUGGGGAAUAUUGGACAAUGGGCGAAAGCCUGAUCCAGCCAUGCCGCGUGUGUGAAGAAGGCCUUCGGGUUGUAAAGCACUUUCAGUGGGGAAGAAAGCCUUGGGGCUAAUACCCUCGAGGAAGGACAUCACCCACAGAAGAAGCACCGGCUAACUCCGUGCCAGCAGCCGCGGUAAUACGGAGGGUGCGAGCGUUAAUAGGAAUUACUGGGCGUAAAGCGCGCGUAGGCGGUCUGAUAAGCCGGUUGUGAAAGCCCCGGGCUCAACCUGGGAACGGCAUCCGGAACUGUCAGGCUAGAGUGCAGGAGAGGAAGGUAGAAUUCCCGGUGUAGCGGUGAAAUGCGUAGAGAUCGGGAGGAAUACCAGUGGCGAAGGCGGCCUUCUGGACUGACACUGACGCUGAGGUGCGAAAGCGUGGGUAGCAAACAGGAUUAGAUACCCUGGUAGUC
rnacentral:rRNA from 1 species